rnacentral:lncRNA from 1 species
CUGUGGAGGAGGUAUCCCAGGAAGGGGGACCUCUCAGGAGUCUGCGAGUGGACAGCACGGACACAGGCACCAGGCAGGGGCCGGCACGCCACAGAGGCCCGGUCAUGUCAGCCCAGGUGCGUGGAUACCACCCUGGGGAGGCUGCCUUGGCCCCUCCCGCCACCUCCCCAGCUCCUGCCCACUCCCACACACACCUGGUCUUACCUCUUUCCAGUGUUCCUAAAUGGUGCUGAGUCCUUCCCGGUGUGGGAGGCUCCACUCUACAGACACCCCUGGGGAGUAUGGUAACAAACAAACCCGGUGCAGACAUGGCUCCAAUCCUGGCCGUCCCAGCUCUCAGGGGUGAACUCCAAGACCCCAGAAGCUCUGCCCUGGGCUUCUAUGACUUCUUUCAUCCCCACCUCAGUCCCAUCUUUCUUCAGUGAACACAUCCCACACUGUCAUCAUGGUCAUUGUCACCAUCACCCUACCUCAUGGAACCACAACUCCACAUUACCUUUAUCUCCACCAUCAAUAUCAUCUUCACCACCACUACCUCCACCAGCAUCACCACCUCCAUCACCAUCACCUCCACUUUUACCUCCACCAUCACCUCCACCUCCACUACCACCAUCACCACCUCCUCCACAUCCACCAUUGCCUCUACCUCCACCAUCACCUCCACCUCUACCAUCAUUACCUCCACCAUCACCUCCACCUCUACCAUCACUUCCAACCACCAUCACCUCCACCUUCACUAUCACCAUCACUACCUCCUCCACCUCCACCAUCGCCUCCACCUCUAGCACCAUUUCCUCCACCUCUAGCACUAUUACCUCCACCUCCACCACCAUCACCUCCAUCUCUACCAUCACCUUCACAUCCACCAUCACCUACAAACUCUACCAUCACUUCCAUCUCCACCACCUCCUCUAUCACCAUCAUUACCUCCUCCACCUGCAUCAUUGCCUCCACCUCCAGCACCAUUACUUCCAACAUCACCCCCACAUCCACCAUCACCUCCACCUCUACCAUCACCUUCACAUCCACCAUCACNNNNNNNNNNAUCGCCUCCACCUCCAGCACCAUUACCUCCACCUCCACCACCAUUACCUCCACCAUCAUCACCUUCACCUCUGCCAUCACCCCCAAUUCUACCAUCACC